rnacentral:rRNA from 1 species
AAUGAACGUUGGCGGCGUGGAUUAGGCAUGCAAGUCGAGCGAUAACCUUCUUUCGGGAAGGGGACAGCGGCGUAAGGGACAGUAAUACGUAGAUCACCUGCCCUCGGAUCCAGGAUAGCUGCGGGAAACUGCAGGUAAUACUGGAUGAUGUCUUCGGACCAAAGGUGUGAUUCCGUCCGGGGAUGGGUCUGCGUCCUAUUAGCUAGUUGGUGGGGUAACGGCCUACCAAGGCAAUGAUGGGUAGCGGGUGUGAGAGCACGACCCGCGUCACUGGGACUGAGACACUGCCCAGACACCUACGGGAGGCUG